UUCGUCAGCCUCAGCGCCGGUGGCUCAAAAAGAAUGCAAAGGUCUUCUGCCACCUGAUCAAGUUGAGAAGCACUGCUCUACCAAAAAUGAACCAAGUUUGCAAUUGCCGUUACACAUGUCCUUUACUUUUAAUAUGUGACUAGCCUGGAUACUCAGGAAGAGACUUCAGGAAGAUUAUCAUUAGGUUGAAGAGACAAUCCGCAUAAGCAGAGACAAAUAACUAACAGUGUAAGCCGUGAUAUUAAAUUCUUGUUCGACCCACCAUCUUGAAUCAUCCGGAAUCUUUCAGUUGCUGUUUGAAGGGCUUUUCUCUUUCCCAGGCUUAUGUCAUGUUUAUACCAGGUAAUAUAGAUUUUGGUGUAUAUAGAUAUUUUUUAUUUUAUUGCUGUAUAUUGCAAGUUUUGUGAAGGCAGUAUCUUUUUGAAUUUAUUUUUCUCUGCUUAACAGCUAACAUCAUGUCUCAAAAUGGUGUUCCACUGAUAAAUUUAGAAUAGUAUGGAGGCUAAAAUUCAGGCUUUGAAAAGUGAAGAUUAUCGGUCGUUGUUCAUCUUUUGCUACUUACCUGUGCAUGUUUGGGGUGCCUCCUUGAUCGGCAAGGGGCAGAGAAGGUAAUGCCAUUAGACUGCCAAGGAAGUGUGACACUCCCUGAUCAGCGGAUGAAAAACUGAGCAUACAAGAAAUGAAAUACCUUGGCCAAAGUUACAUAACUACCAGUUAUUGUACCUUGGACUCUGGUCUGGCUGAGUCCUGAACUACACUACUUUAUAGGAAGGCUAUAGUGAGUAUUGCUCGUGAGUUUAAAGGUGAGCUUCUAAAGUGUCUCAAGGAAAGAAUAACAAGAUUAUCCCACAAAAGAUGUUUAUUUAUAGCAUUGUUCAGCAUUCAAGAAUGGAGAGAAUCUUAAUAGUUAGUAAUCUGUGUAACAGCCAACGUUCGUUGUACUUAUAUGUUGUAUCAG
rnacentral:lncRNA from 1 species